rnacentral:rRNA from 1 species
CCUACGGGAGGCAGCAGUAGGGAAUCUUCCGCAAUGGACGAAAGUCUGACGGAGCAACGCCGCGUGAACGAUGAAGGCCUUCGGGUCGUAAAGUUCUGUUGUUAGGGAAGAACAAGUGCUAGUUGAAUAAGCUGGCACCUUGACGGUACCUAACCAGAAAGCCACGGCUAACUACGUGCCAGCAGCCGCGGUAAUACGUAGGUGGCAAGCGUUGUCCGGAAUUAUUAGGCGUAAAGCGCGCGCAGGCGGUUUCUUAAGUCUGAUGUGAAAGCCCCCGGCUCAACCGGGGAGGGUCAUUGGAAACUGGGAAACUUGAGUGCAGAAGAGGAAAGUGGAAUUCCAAGUGUAGCGGUGAAAUGCGUAGAGAUUUGGAGGAACACCAGUGGCGAAGGCGACUUUCUGGUCUGUAACUGACGCUGAGGCGCGAAAGCGUGGGGAGCAAACAGGAUUAGAUACCCUGGUAGUCCACGCUGUAAACGAUGAGUGCUAAGUGUUAGAGGGUUUCCGCCCUUUAGUGCUGAAGUUAACGCAUUAAGCACUCCGCCUGGGGGAGUACGGUCGCAAGACUGAAACUUAAUGAAUUGACGG